rnacentral:rRNA from 1 species
AACGAACGCUGGCGGCAUGCCUAACACAUGCAAGUCGAACGAGACCUUCGGGUCUAGUGGCGCACGGGUGCGUAACGCGUGGGAACCUGCCCUUAGGUUCGGAAUAACUCCCCGAAAGGGGUGCUAAUACCGGAUAAUGUCUUCGGACCAAAGAUUUAUCGCCUUUGGAGGGGCCCGCGUUGGAUUAGCUAGUUGGUAGGGUAAAAGCCUACCAAGGCGACGAUCCAUAGCUGGUCUGAGAGGAUGAUCAGCCACACUGGGACUGAGACACGGCCCAGACUCCUACGGGAAGGAGCAGUGGGGAAUAUUGGACAAUGGGCGAAAGCCUGAUCCAGCAAGGCCGCGUGAGUGAUGAAGGCCGUAGAGUUGUAAAGCGCUUUUACCCGGGAUGAUAAUGACAGUACCGGGAGAAUAAGCUCCGGCUAACUCCGUG